CCGAGCAUAACUUUUUAGCCCAAUAAGCAUCUUGCCUGGGAAAGAAAAAUAUCUAGCAUAAAAUAAUAAGGAAAUUUCUAGAAUAACAAUUAAAUGCUACCAUCCUAUUACCUAAUCAGAUAACUCUGCCACCUGCCAUUUCCAUUUUUUCUUUCAAUUCGCACUUAAUGGCUUUACCAGCUUUCAAGGGAGGCUUUAAUCACUGAUUCUUUUGAUCUGCCAUUUUGAACUUCCCCCCUUUCUUCCAUCUCCUUCCUGCUUUAGUCUGGUUCUCUCUUGCUGUCGUUUUUCCUCUUGUUUUUGGCAUACAUGGGAACGCUUUCAAUCAGAUACACCUCUUCUUCCCUUCGUAAUGAUUCUAUUGCUAAUAAGUGUGCGAGACCGCUUGCUGAUCUUGGGGUAUACUCAAACCUUAAACUGCUAGAUCUGGAUUUUAACUGGUGACUAUCAUGAAUAAAAACCCCUAUUUGCGAUUUGUCAUUCCCUUUAGCCUUGCAUUUCUUAAUUAUCGAAAAAAAGUCACCUUCUAUAAUGAUUUCCUUCCCUUGCAUGUCGAGUGCUAUCUAGGUUGCCUUUCUACAUGCAAUCGCUUUGGCAGCGAAGGCGGAAAGUACUCUGUGGUGGAUCUCAGUGCAUGAAAGGAGAAGGAGCCCUUCGCUAUUUUUGACAACUACCUCGGAAGCCAAUUGACGAUUACGCUCAUUAUAUGCUCCAUUGAAGUUUAUUUUCACUAUCUGAUCAGAUGGGUGUUUCCAUUUUUUAAUCCCCUUAGAAACUCUGGAAGUACUGUUCUCAAAACCAUUCACUUCUUUUAAAUAACUAAGAACAAAUCUUGACAUCUCCUGACCAGAUCUGCUUGUUUUAUCAUGUAUUCGAGCAUUUCUGUCACCCUAAAUGGCCCAUAACGCACGGCAAAACAGUUUGUAAUGAGAGGGAGGCUGAAUAACGAGGACCUUGGUACCACUGUUCGAAGUCUAAAUCUAUUUUCUGUAAAAAUUUAACAGUCGAUAAUGCUUUCCAAACUGUCACUGAUAUAGAACAUUCUCGAAAGAGGUGAUCCAUUGUUUCAGCUCCUUCACCACAUCGAGGACAUGUUGGACUAUUAACUAGUUUUUGAAUAACAUAUUUAUCCGAGUAGGCAGAUAGUUCCAUGAAAUUUUCUAGCAUGUAAUUAUAAUUUUUUUUUGUAGAUCUAGGCUCUAUAGUUUUUUUGUAGAAAGCCCUGUAAUCGAUUUGUAAAGCAUAAGCUCUAGGAUCCAAACUUUGUAAUAGUUUGUAGGCGCUUCGAACCGAAUAUUCUCCCAUGUAUUCGCCACUCCAAGCCCUAAAGUCAGCUUGAGGUUCUUUCGCCAAUGGGAUACACAGUAUCUUUUCAGCCACUACUUCUGGAAAG
rnacentral:lncRNA from 1 species